rnacentral:rRNA from 1 species
AACGAACGCUGGCGGCGUGCUUAACACAUGCAAGUCGAACGCGAACGGGUUCUUCGGGACCUUAGUAGAGUGGCGCACGGGUGAGUAACGCGUAAGUUAUCUACCUCGGCAUCUGGAAUAACUCACCGAAAGGUGUGCUAAUACCGGAUACGUUGAGUAAUCAAGAAAGGUGGCCUCUCUUUGAUGCUACCGUGCUGAGAUGAGCUUGCGUACCAUUAGCUAGUUGGUGGGGUAAUGGCCUACCAAGGCGACGAUGGUUAGCGGGUCUGAGAGGAUGAUCCGCCACACUGGAACUGGAACACGGACCAGACUCCUACGGGAGGCAACAGUGAGGAAUAUUGCGCAAUGGGGGCAACCCUGACGCAGCGACGCCGCGUGGAUGAUGAAGGCCUUCGGGUCGUAAAAUCCUGUCAGGUGGAAAGAAAUGUAUAUGUGCUAAUACCAUGUAUACUUGACGGUACCACCGAAGGAAGCACCGGCUAACUCCGUGCCAGCCGCCGCAGUAA